AGCGAACGCUGGCGGCAGGCCUAACACAUGCAAGUCGAACGAAGUCUUCGGACUUAGUGGCGGACGGGUGAGUAACACGUGGGAACGUACCUUUUGGUUCGGAACAACUCAGGGAAACUUGAGCUAAUACCGGAUGAGCACUUAGGGGGAGAGAUUUAUCGCCGAAAGAGCGGCCCGCGUUAGAUUAGCUAGUUGGUGAGGUAAAGGCUCACCAAGGCUACGAUCUAUAGCUGGUCUGAGAGGAUGAUCAGCCACACUGGGACUGAGACACGGCCCAGACUCCUACGGGAGGCAGCAGUGGGGAAUCUUGCGCAAUGGGCGAAAGCCUGACGCAGCCAUGCCGCGUGAAUGAUGAAGGUCUUAGGAUUGUAAAAUUCUUUUACCAGGGACGAUAAUGACGGUACCUGGAGAAAAAGCCCCGGCUAACUUCGUGCCAGCCGCCGCCGUAAUAC
rnacentral:rRNA from 1 species